AGAGACUGCUUAAGCAUGAGCUGCAAACUUCUGAGAAGUACACGUUUAAAAUAUAAAAGACAAAAUUCCUUAACAAGAAAAUAUAUGGUUUUCAAAAUAGUUCUUCAGGAACAGCUUGCAGCCUUUAAAUCUCAUUUAGUCAGGCUGAGAUGGUAUUGUUGUGUCUAUGUUAGUUUUGAUAAAGGAGUCAGCCCUGCUCCCGUUGCAGUCUCUGGCAUUUUCCAUUGUCUUCAGGAGGAGCAGAGCCAGUCUCAAAGCCUCACAAAGAUACCACGAUAAAAGACUCUGGAAGCUGAGCUGACCCGAAUGGCGCCAUCGUCCCUUUGACUGACAGCUGCUGGCUUAAAUGGACACAGAAGAAAGAAUUCAGCAUCCUGAGAGUGAAAUUCAGGAUUGCUCAGAUGCAUGUGCAUGUGGUGAAGCAAUACAAAUAAAGACCACGUUUUGUUUUGCUCCAGUGAAUUGUCAAAGAGAUUUAGAAAGCCAGGCGAUCUCAUUAUGGUAAUACAGGUUAAAUACUUUAAAAGCAUACGGUGUUACCAUCCUGAAUGAAGCUGUCCCUGACGGCUCCGGGAAGCAGACAAUAGGCCAGAAACACAUCUCCUGUCUCUGGUCCACCAAUGGGAACCAGGGAUUAUAAAUCACCACAAGAAAACAUUGUGUGCUAUCUGGUAUCAGGUAAUGCCUUGUCUUUUCAAUUAAAAUUUGACUCAUCCUUCUCUAGAGAGGAACAAGCUCUAGCUGUAUAUUCCACUGGCCAAUGAAAAACACAGCUCUAGGGUUUCCUCUAUUUUCGUCUCCAUAAAACAGUAUCUGUAGAGAUGGGUGAACACAGUAUACAAUAUAUCUCAACAAUAUGUGUAGAGAUGGGGAAUGCUUCCACAGAGAUGCUUCCGGCCCAUGGGGAAGAAAAAGAUACCCGUGAAAACCAUCAGGCACAAAAUAAAAAUGUUUUCCUUUAUCGCAAAGCUUUAAGGAUGCUUGGCUAUGGCCAAAAGAUUUCUUUUCUUUCUCCCCCAAAGGCCACAGGUAAUUCACUGCUGACAGAUUCUUCUGUGUAAAACGGAGCUCAUUACCACGUAUUUGCUAAUUUUCUCCAGUAAGGAGCAGUCCCAGGAUUGACCUUGGUAACUCCAAAUGUCAGCUCUUUCCCCAUGGGCACUGAAAUAAUGUGUUGUCUCUCUCUUGGAGCCCAUGACAAUGACACAGUGUAGUCCACAAAGACCCUAUUAGUAGUCCGUGUCUGACAAGGAUUAUCUAGGUUUUCAGAAACAUGUCCUAGGUUACUGCUGUUUCAGGGAGUUUUGGGGAUUUGUAAGCAGCUAUGCUGCAGACAGGCAGCUGAAGCGCAACCAGGUUUCAAAGACAGUAGACAUUCUCAGGGAUGCACCAGUUUCUUCAGCUGUUCCUCACAACUAUUUCUGAGAGCAGCAGAUGAGCUCUAAAAAAUGAUGAUGGAGCCAUUUACAAAGUUACUGCCUUUAGCUUCUCUCCUUCAACAAUCUGUCAGAAAUUGCUGCUUCCAAAGUUGGCAGAUGAUGAUGCUCCCCUGUGUCUCAGCUACUCCUGGGCAAAGCCCAGUGCUUUUUCUUUCCAAAUCCUAAAGAGAGGUGGAUUUAAAUCAGUGGGUGCACUAUUAGAGCAGUAACUUCUGGGAAGUGUGUGGAGGGAACAGCAGGAGGUGAUAAUUUCUUCAACUAUCACAGUUUAUUUGUUGGCACUUUAUAUUUUACUUCAUAUUCUACCCCUGGAAAAAAGGAAAUUAGAAACACUUGGAAGGAAAGACCAGGCACAUGAAAUAAGACUAGAAUUUCCUUCAACAUCAUCAAGGGUCUGGAGGUGGCUGAAGAUGUUUCCUUGUUCAGUUUUUUUGUGUGUGUCUUCUAAUAAAUUCCUUUACAACAUACACAUGUAUAGAAAUAGAUAGAAUAUAUUUUAAAAACAGAACCAUUCCCCUCCACAAAUAUGUCAGGGAUUUAGAGAGCAACUAUCUACAAAUAUUUAUCUUUCAUGGCUUCCUGGUGAAUAUUGAAAUACUUCAAAAUUCCAUCCCUUCUUAAGUUCCUUACCACCUCUAUAUAUGCACAAAGUCAAUUCAAGCUGAUGGGUAAAACAUGUAUGUACCCGCCUUGUCCAGAAGACAAGCUAUAAGUGUUUGUUUGCCUCUGGCUUUUUUUUUUUUUCCCAUAAUCUGAUCUAUUUCCUUGCAAUAUUGGUACCUUUUAAUUUUCCUUUAUCCUCACUAUCUGUGAUGUUAUCUGAACAUGCUUACUGAUAUUCUCACAGCUUGUACGGUUUGCUUCCAUCCCUCUAUUUGUCUCACUUACCUGUUAACUUCAUGGCGCUGGAGAGUUACUGUAAUUUUUCUUCUGCCUUUUCAUGAAUCUUUUUGCUUCGCUGAGCCUUGUGAAUGGAGACUUUAACUGAAUAUCUCAUAAUAAAUACUGCUUUCUUAAUGCUACUACCCUGCUUAUUGCAACUCUAGUCUUCUGCUAGAAUAACUGACUCAUCUCCUAACUCAUCCAUUUUACUAACUGAACAUCCUACUUGCCAGUCACUGCUCUACUGCGUAAAAUCACAGCCACCUGCUAUUCAGAUUAAGCUUUCACCAGACCUCCUUUUCACAUUAUCAUAAGUGCAGUCUUUUCUUCCAACUCCUUUCACCCUCCACACUGACUUUUGCUUCCUCUUGCUUGGUGGUCUCAUCUCUUUAAAGGUUUCCACCCAUCCUAACAAUUCCUCACCCAGGUCCACGUUUCAUGUCCACAUUUCUUCUGCCUCCCCUGCUAUUCCAGUUUCAUCUCCAUGCUCUACAAGUAAGAGGACUUCUGUUUGGUACUGUUACUCUUCCAGUAUUAUCUGCUGCUCCCUAUGUUAUAUUACAAGUCAAAUACUACAACUGGGAGCUGAUCUUUUAUUGCUUUGUAAGCACCCAACACAACAAAGUCCCAAGCUGGAUAGAAAAUUGUAAUCAAUAAUGUAUACAUGUCACAACUUAAUACUCGUUAUGUGCCUCCAGUUCUUACACAAUUAAAGGUGCUAUUCUGUAUUAAAGCUGUUGCUGAGUAGCCACAACAGUACUGCAAUGUAUGUCAAGGGUACACGUGGCUCUGCUCUCUGCUUGCAUAUAGAAUUUUAAGAAGUCAUCUGUAUCUGCUUAUAUAGAUAUUCAGUAAGAACGAUCAAAAGGUUGUCUUUUGUGCUACUUUGCAUGUUUGUUUGCAAAUACAAACUUUCUACUGCAUAUUGUAUAAAUGAAAAAUUACAUUUGUUUGGAAGCAACAGAAAGGAGAUUCUGUACAUGAGAAAUGAGAUUCUGUACAUAAGCUUCCACACAAAAGGUCUUUAGCACAGAUGGGUAUAUUCUAACUUUACUUUAGAUGGAUGAUACGUCACGUUAGAACAGACAAGGUUGAAGAGAUGUCUGCAGGGACACAGCCCCAAGAAAAAGUGGGGAUUAGCUUGUCAAUAAAGAUGUAAACAGACUGCUCUGAGGCAGCCUCAUUUCUGACAUUAGAAAAUCUUAAAUGGUUUGUUGGCAAAAAGCAUGUGCGAAAACUGGGGCAGGCUGUCAAGACCUAAAUCAAUUCAUUUCUGUUUUUCAGUAGUUGCUGCCUGUCAGGCAAAGAAUCUCUGUAACAUUACAAAAAUUGAACAUGAACAUACAACAGUAAAACUGAAUAUAAUUCGUUAGGGAAAGUUAUAUCUGAUACUGUAAAGAUACACUUCAUGAGAAUAUAAACUAUUUUUGAGACUA